AGUUUGCCCACUCAAAGGUAAUCAAAAGAUAAAUUCUCAACUACUUGACUUGGUAGAAGUAGUUAAUAGUGCGGCCCCCAGGGGUAGGCAGGAGCUUUUCCAUUGCUGGAGAGAAGCAGAGGAGGGAAGGAAAGUGAGCCUCCCAUGGCUGUGCUGCACAGCCACAGCUGUUAAAGGGCAUUGGCAGGGCAGGCUGCAGCUGGGAGGGCAAAGCACCAACCCCAAGGACACCUGCUUUGGAUGGAUGGCACCUGAGAGCAAGGGAAUGGGGCCAGGGCUCUCAGAAAAUCUUCAGCUGGGACUGGACUCCAAGGAACUCUUUGGAAGAAGGAACAUUACCAAAUGCUUUCCUGUGCACACAUGUGGCUGAUCUCCCUCUCAGAUACAGUGGUCAAAGGGCUGGGCUUCGUGGAGGAGGGAAGGAAUCUUUUCAGACGUUUCCUUCUGUCUCCCAUUCACCCUGCUGCUGUGCUAAAGAAAGGCACUGGAAAUUUGUUUUCUUUGCCCACUGAGAGUAAGACAACAACUAAAAUUAAACUGAAUUACUAAAGCUUAGAAAACAGCAACAGUAAUUAAUCUUACAGAAGAACAACUAAGUUUGUGGUACUUUAGAAGUUAUAGAACAGACUUCUACUAAACACAGGGAAUUAUUUAGGUAUAUUCCACCCUGCUUCAAAGAAUUGCAUCAGGUUAGAUAACUUACUGAUGUAACACGUCUAUGAAUAGUAAAUCUACUCAGUAUUUCAUUCCAGAGGAUAAAAAACAUCAGAAAAAAAUUAAUGAGCACCCCACUAAAAAGUAAUUGUUUAGUAAUUCCUCUAAAUCAAAUCUGUGUUAAGUACAAUGGGUAGAAUUCUCUAUCAUUAACCAAAAAAUAUACAGAAAAUUUAUACUGUCUCCCUAGAGAGAAGCCAGGGCAUCAGGUAUGCAAUGCUAUACAUAUUUCAUGAAGUAAAUUAGGAAGAGGUGGUGCAAGUGGAAGUUGCAGCCAAAUUAUGUGAGUGAAAGGAAAACUAUGAAGACUGUUUCAUCUUUCAGUGUCUUGUUUAUAUGGCUUUUGCUGGAAAGGAGGAGGGAUGGAGCUGUAGGCAAAUCAUGCUACAAGUGGGCAUAUCAAGGGAUCUGAGGCAAUACAGAGCUAUGAAAAGGAUGGAAUAUUAAUUGUCUUUCCUCAUGGACCACAUCAACAUUAUUAUUGUUGUGCUGCUGCUCCCAAGAGAUGAAUUAAAUGGAGACUUUCAGAAAUUUUCACAGUUUCAGUAUUUUAUCUCCUCAAUAUUACUUUGCUUCUCUAUGAAAUAUAUCUCUAUUUUACUGUUUUCCUUUGGCAUUUGUAAGGGUCCCAUCAAUGCAAGUCACCAAUACCCAAGUAUUCUUACUGAGGCUCAAUCUCAUACUCCCUAAUUUAUGCAAAAUGAUCACAGAUGGUGCAUGAUUUCUAGUGUACAUUUCCAACUGCUAUUUCAUUUAAGAGGACAGAAACUAUACCUCUAUAACUGUUUACCUUUACUGAAAUUGUGAAGUUUAUUGGGAGUAAAUCUGGUUUCUGCUAGCAAAUACAACAUAUUAAAAAAUACCAGGAAAAUGGAGUUUUCUUCUUGCUUUCUCCUGUAUAAUCUCUGAGUAAUACAAAAGGCAUACACCUGGCUUAACACUUAAGGCUUUGAAAGAGAUUUUUAAAAAAAUAUCAAAAGCAGACAUUGGGAGAGGUUGGGAGUGGGAGGAAUCCUGUCCUCAUCACUAGGCAUGAAAACUUGAUGGGAAGUUACUCAAAUAAAGAAGCUGCAAAAUCUUCAACUGAAAAAUGAAAUUCAUGUUGUUGUUCCUUUAAACAACAGAAAUGAAACAUUUAUGAAGAUUAAGGAAAUAAGGCUAAAAGGCAGUGUGUCCUGAACUGAGAAAUUGGAAGGGAACAGGUGUAUUAGUAUAUCAGCAUUUCCAGAGGCACAGCAGGUAGCACUAACAAAAAAAUUAUUAAGAAAACUUCCUCUUGAGUACAGAAAGUUAAAACACAUACUAGGAGCCAAAGUACACUCAUCCACCUCAUUAUGUGUGAGGAGUGUGCUCUGAAGAAGCCCCACAAGCUGACAGCACAGAAGGAAUUGAAAAAUAACAGACCCUAUUUAUAGAAUGGCUUUAAUAUAAUGGAAUCAUCUCCAUGUAAUUAUCAUCUGUUUUCACAUAAAAGAGGUGUAUUCUUCACCUAAAUCAGUGGUAGAAUUAUCAUUAUUAUUUUUCCAUAUA